rnacentral:rRNA from 1 species
AAUGAACGUUGGCGGCGUGGAUUAGGCAUGCAAGUCGAACGAGAACCCCGCAAGGGGUGAAAGUGGCAAACGGCGUAGUAAGGCGUAGGUGACGUACCUCCCGAUUCGGGAUAGCCACGGGAAACUGUGGGUAAUACCGGAUAACCCCUCCCUGCUUGAAAAGGGGAGUGCAAAGGUGUGAUUCCGUCAGGAGAGCGGCUUACGUGGUAUUAGCUAGUUGGUGAGGUAACGGCUCACCAAGGCAACGAUGCCUAGGGGGUGUUAGCGCAUGACCCCCACGACUGGGACUGAGAUACUGCCCAGACACCUACGGGUGGCUGCAGUCGAGAAUCUUCGGCAAUGGGCGCAAGCCUGACCGAGCGACGCCGCGUGCGGGAUGAAGGCCCUUGGGUUGUAAACCGCUGUCAGAGGGGAUGAAGUGCCGGAAAGCUAUCUUUCCGGUUUGACAUAGCCUCAGAGGAAGCACGGGCUAAGUUCGUG